AGGAAUAUUGGUCAAUGGGCGAGAGCCUGAACCAGCCAAGUAGCGUGAAGGAUGACGGCCCUACGGGUUGUAAACUUCUUUUGUGCGGGAAUAAAGGAGCCUACGUGUAGGCUUUUGCAUGUACCGUAACGAAUAAGCAUCGGCUAACUCCGUGCCAGCAGCCGCGGUAAUACGGAGGAUGCGAGCGUUAUCCGGAUUUAUUGGGUUUAAAGGGAGCGUAGACGGGUUUUUAAGUCAGCUGUGAAAGUUUGGGGCUCAACCUUAAAAUUGCAGUUGAAACUGGAGACCUUGAGUACGGUUGAGGCAGGCGGAAUUCGUGGUGUAGCGGUGAAAUGCUUAGAUAUCACGAAGAACCCCGAUUGCGAAGGCAGCCUGCUAAGCCGCCACUGACGUUGAGGCUCGAAAGUGCGGGUAUCAAACAGGAUUAGAUACCCUGGUAGUCCGCACGGUAAACGAUGGAUACUCGCUGUUGGCGAUAGACGGUCAGCGGCCAAGCGAAAGCGUUAAGUAUCCCACCUGGGGAGUACGCCGGCAACGGUGAAACUCAAAGGAAUUGACGGGGGCCCGCACAAGCGGAGGAACAUGUGGUUUAAUUCGAUGAUACGCGAGGAACCUUACCCGGGCUUGAACUGCAGUGGAAUUAUCCGGAAACGGAUAAGCGAGCAAUCGCCGCUGUGGAGGUGCUGCAUGGUUGUCGUCAGCUCGUGCCGUGAGGUGUCGGCUUAAGUGCCAUAACGAGCGCAACCCUUGCUGCCAGUUACUAACAGGUCAUGCUGAGGACUCUGGCAGGACUGCCAUCGUAAGAUGUGAGGAAGGUGGGGAUGACGUCAAAUCAGCACGGCCCUUACGUCCGGGGCUACACACGUGUUACAAUGGGGAGUACAGAGGGCAGCUACCGGGCGACCGGAUGCGAAUCCCGAAAGCUCCUCUCAGUUCGGACUGGAGUCUGCAACCCGACUCCACGAAGCUGGAUUCGCUAGUAAUCGCGCAUCAGCCACGGCGCGGUGAAUACGUUCCCG
rnacentral:rRNA from 1 species